rnacentral:rRNA from 1 species
UACAGAGGCCCCGAGCGUUAUCCGGAAUUACUGGGCGUAAAGAGUGAGUAGCCGGCACUACUAGUCUGAUGUUAAAUCUCAUCGCUUAACGGUGAGGCCGCAUUAGAAACGGUAGAGCUUGAGCGAGUCAGAGGCAUGCGGAACGUGCGGUGUAGGGGUGAAAUCCGCUGAUAUCGCACGGAACACCAAAAGCGAAGGCAGCAUGCUAGGGCUUUGCUGACGGUCAGUCACGAAAGCGUGGGGAUCAAAAAGG